UUAAUUUUUUGUAGUGACAGGGUCCCACCUCACCCUCCCAGAGCAAUGGGAUUACAGGCAUGAACCAUCAUGCCCAGCCAAAGGAGGUUCACAUUUUUUUUCUUUUUCCCUCUGGGAGGUUUACCUUUAUCCUUUAAUCAGUGUGUGCUUUGAGCAUUGGUGAAUUAGGUUCUUAUGUGAUGGCAAGCAAAAUCUGGCUUCAUAAAAAGCUAGAAGCAGGAAGACCAAUGAGACUACCUUUGGAGAGCUUGGAGGUAGGGAAUAUGGCUAGCAUUCGGAUAAAUGUCUUAGUGACACCUUCUCAUCCUGUUUCCCUUGCAGCCCGCGUGACCCCAACUCUGCCGAAGCAGGACCGUCCUGUGCGUGAGGGGACCCGGGUAGCCUCUAUUGAGACAGGUUUGGCUGCAGCAGCUGCAAAGCUGGCCCAGCAGGAGCUACAGAAGGCCCAAAAGAAGAAAUAUAUCAAGAAGAAGCCUUUGCUGAAGGAGGUAGAACAGCCUCGCCCUCAAGAUUCCAAUCUCAGUCUGACAGUACCAGCCCCCACUGUGGCUGCCACACCACAACUUGUCACCUCCUCCU
rnacentral:sRNA from 1 species